rnacentral:rRNA from 1 species
UACGUAGGGCGCAAGCGUUAUCCGGAAUUAUUGGGCGUAAAGAGCGCGUAGGCGGUCUGUCGCGUCGGCUGUGAAAACUCGGGGCUCAACUCCGAGCUUGCAGUCGAUACGGGCAGGCUAGAGUUCGGCAGGGGAGACUGGAAUUCCUGGUGUAGCGGUGAAAUGCGCAGAUAUCAGGAGGAACACCGGUGGCGAAGGCGGUUCUCUGGGCCUUACCUGACACUGAGGAGCGAAAGCGUGGGGAGCGAACAGG